AGCGUUAACGAACGAGACCUUAACCUGCUAAAUAGUUAGGCCAACGUUUGUUGGUCGUCAACUUCUUAGAGGGACUAUUGACUAUUAGUCAAUGGAAGUUUGAGGCAAUAACAGGUCUGUGACGCCCUUAGAUGUUCUGGGCCGCACGCGCGCUACACUGAUGAAGUCAACAAGUUAAUUUUGUCCUUGGCUGGAAAGCCUGGGUAAUCUUCUGAAACUUCAUCGUGCUGGGGAUAGUUCAUUGUAAUUAUUGAACUUCAACGAGGAAUUCCUAGUAAGCACAAGUCAUCAGCUUGUGUUGAUUACGUCCCUGCCCUUUGUACACACCGCCCGUCGCUAAUACCGAUUGAAUGGUUAU
rnacentral:rRNA from 1 species